rnacentral:rRNA from 1 species
UACAGAGGGGGGCAAGCGUUGUUCGGAAUUACUGGGCGUAAAGGGCGCGUAGGCGGCCCGCUAAGUCGAACGUGAAAUCCCCGAGCUCAACUCGGGAACUGCGUCCGAUACUGGUGGGCUUGAAUCCGGGAGAGGGAUGCGGAAUUCCAGGUGUAGCGGUGAAAUGCGUAGAUAUCUGGAGGAACACCGGUGGCGAAGGCGGCAUCCUGGACCGGCAUUGACGCUGAGGCGCGAAAGCUAGGGGGAGCAAACGGG